AACCUAGCACACCUGCGGUGUGUACCUGCGGAGGGAUCAUUACCGAGUUUACAACUCCCAAACCCCUGUGAACAUACCUAUACGUUGCCUCGGCGGAUCAGCCCGCGCCCUGUAAAACGGGACGGCCCGCCCGAGGACCCUAAACUCUGUUUUUAGUGGAACUUCUGAGUAAAACAAACAAAUAAAUCAAAACUUUUAACAAUGGAUCU
rnacentral:misc_RNA from 1 species